UCGGCCGUGAAACCUGACAGCGCCAAUGGUACUAACGCUCAAGCGUUGGAAGAGUAGGACGUCGCCAGGC
rnacentral:rRNA from 1 species